CUGACUGAACCCUCUGGAGACCAUGAAUGGAAUGAGAGAUCCACUUCAUUCUUACAACAGACACCAAGUGACCUGACUGAACCCUCUGGAGACCAUGAAUGGAAUGAUAGAUACACUUCAUCCUUACAACAGACACCAAGUGUUCCGAUCCUGAUGAAACCUUUAGAAGAUCAAGAAAGGAGUGGAAGAUCCACUUCUUCCUUACAACAGGUUACUACGUCUUAUCAUUAUAUACUAGGUUUGAGUUUUCAGCUUUCUUUGACAAACACAGGAGAAGUUAUAAAUCAGAAACAUGGACUCUCCAUGAUUUCAGUC